GCCUGUAUCAUUUUUAGCUUUUCCUUCUUUUCAAGUUGUAUACAUUCUUUUUUCCGUCUGUAUAUAUAGUCUUUAAAAAAUAAAAUGAGCUCUCAAUCCACACACUCGGCACUGCCUAGGACAUUCAGCCGGUGUCCCGGAACGGCUGAAUCUAGAACAGGGGUGCCUUUUCUGGACUGUCGGAACUGCUGUGCUCAUCCCCGAAUUCCUCCUUCUCUGUGUGUGCAGGACACAAUGGCUAGAGUAAAACAGACGGCUAGAAAGUCUAAGAGUUGGCGCGCUAAUGAAGUGCCCGCCGACGAGAUUGUUCUGGAUGGGGAACAAGGGAAUUCGGAGGAGAGGAGUAGUUCUGAUGAUGAGGCUCCCUCUUCCUCCGAGAGCUCAAGUGUUAGAGAGGUAGACGGUGAAGAGGCCGCCUCCUCUAAUGGGUCUGAGAAGAGACAAGCGGCAAUGAGGUCGUUUAAAGAUCGGGAGCCGAGGCAUCUGGCUCCAAUCAAGAUAAUUUUGCGGCUGACUAUCAGCAGCCGGCGAAAGCUUCAGCCACACCUGACCCAAUUAGAAUGCUUCCGGGUGACAUAGCUGUUAGGGCCUUAAAAAAAAACACCCCUUUGGAAAGGGGUGGGAUAUUAUAGUUCCGCCUGGGGACGCGGUUAUGGCCUCGGAGGAUAACAUAGAAAAUGCAGACAACUACUUUGUCUACCAUGAGGCGGUAAUAGAAGCUGGCCUCCGGUUCCCCCUCCAUACUGCGAUUAGGAAAAGCCUGAAGGUGUUUGGCAGCUCACCCCAAAUUCAUGGGUGAAUAUUUUGAGCUACAUUGCCGCCUGCGAGCUCUAGAAUAUUGCCCCCAACUUUUCCACCUUUGCUCAUAUGCACUAUUUGAGCAGGCGACCAUGUGACGACUUUGGACAAAGUGUUCAAAUUGUCGGGUGGAAGGAGAAGUUUUAUUUGGUCUCCUCCCCCACUCUGAGACACAACCGGACGCUGCGCCGGUACAAUAAGGAACCGGUUCUCUUGGCAGGAAAUGUCCUCUCGGCAUUCUCUUCUAGGGCGCGGGAGCAAAUAAUAGAUCCGGGUUUCUUUGAAACCACAACCGAGCCCUUGGGGGAUGGGACUCAUAUUAUUGUGCCUAAAAACUAGAUCCCUCAUCCGGACUUCUUCAAGGACGAAAGAUUCCUGUCUGCCUGCGGGUUAAGCACCAUGUUUCCCAAGUUGACACCUACCUUGAAGAUGGUUGAUCUGGGAAAAAUCCUGGCUAAGUCUGCUGCGCGAAGAAAGCGCGCUCUCUAAGAGAGCAGCCAUCGAGGCCAAGGAGGCCAAGAAAGGCGGGAUGCCACUAAAAGCGUUCCACGCUCCAUCUCUAAGCUUUUCAAAAGGCAAGGGGAGGAGCUGGACAAAACUCCGGCUGCCAAGGCCGCAAAGAAGAACCCCUCCCAAUCAACUUCUACUGCCAAUCCGAAUCGUCCUAGGUGGCAAAUCUCCUUCUGCCAUGAAGAUUAUGAGUGAAAGCUCAGAACGUUCAGGGAAGAAAGCGCCGGAUGCCUCUACGACAUCGAAGAAGGGUGGCCAGCCACCCAAUGUUGCAGCCGGUGCAACGACUGGGGAGGAGGACGCCUCUAAGCCCCAUCCUCAAACCCAAGAUCUUACAUUCGACGAGCCGGAUCUUCCUGGGUUUGCUAAACGGAUGGUGAGGACCCUCACCCGGUCUGAGAAAAACUCCAAAACUCCAUACCUGAUAUGCAGGUAGUGGACUUUGACCGGAUAAUAGGCCAACUGGCGGAAGUAAACUAUUCUUCAACUUGAUUCUGAUAUUUUUCUUUUAUUUUACCAAGUGUUUUAUAUUCCGGCUACCCUUUCUCAGGUUAAUAAUGUUGAGGGUGGAUGGGCUCCGGGGCCCCUUCAGGAAACAAGAAAAGGUAAAUGACGCCAAACAGAGGGCCACUGAAAACCUCAACUCUGCCGAAUAUGCUAAUUAUGUGUGUGAAUUAAAGAUUAAAGCAGUGGGGCUAACAAUGAAGCCAACAGCCGGGCUAAUGACCUUGAUAAAAAAUUGGCAGAUGCUAAGCUAUGCUCUAAGGCAUUAGAGGACGCUGAUAAGGAGAACACGAAGCUCCGGGCAGACGUCGCCCGGUUGGGGGUGGAGAUUGUCAACCUGGGAACCAGCAGGCUGAUGAGAUCGCCAAGGAGCAUACUCGACUGAAGGAGGAGAAUGAGUGGGACAAUGCAGCCCGCCAGAAGAUAACCUUGGGGCUCCUCUAUCCGGAUAUAGACUUUGAAGUCUACAAACUUAGGUAUGACUACGCCACUGCGGUGUAUGAUGCCCAAUGGGAGAGGCAACUCCGCCUCGCUUCAAAGACUGGGCUGCAGAGCUGGAAUAUGAAGUCUCAGACAACGAAGAGGAGCCGACAGAGGACGAGCAGAACCAAGACAGCCAGGCGGCCGAUAAUCAAUCUGAAGUCCUCCCUACCGGUCCAAACCAGCCGGGUCAGCAGCCUCCACCUUAGCCUUGAACCAGCCUCCCCAAAUUCUGCGGCUGUAUGCUAAUUAUUUUUCUUUUCCGGCUUGUAAGCCGUGUAUGUUGUAAUUUUACCAAUUGUGGAGUUGGGUUGACAAUUUGUUUCUUUUGUUUCUGCACCGGAUGUGAUUCCGGAUAACAAUUAUUCUGGCCUUUGUGCCAUUUUUAAUUUUAUGAAGUAUUUUGACUCAGUCGCUUUUUUAUACAUGUUUGCGUUUGAAUUUUUUGAAUUGAAUUUUGCGUAUAUACUGCAAUUCUUUGAUAUUUUGCCUAACUUAUAAAAAGCAUGUGGCGGACGGCUGUGUGGUUGGUUUCAUUUCAAAUUGAUUAAUUGGCUUGAAAACAUUUGAUACUUGGAGAAGUAUGAGAUGUUUUUAGGCCAAUCAAUCACAAUGGUGAUUGCCCCAAACCAAGUGCACAACCGGCCAUUAAAACGGGUGCUUCAAGCCUCUUACCCAAGCGGUAAUAUUCCGUUACACAAAACUCUUUUGCCCCAAUUGGGAGAGAGUGCAAUUUUGGAAUAAAUAAUCUAAGUAAGAAUUUCAGUUGAAAACCGACUCUCCGGUAUUUCGAAAACUAAAUCGUUCUGUAGACUAUUAGACGGUUAUGAGUAGACCAAUUUGGUCGUUCAAUCGUUGCCGUCUGCAUAGAUACGUAGAGCUGACAUAGUCUGCUCUCUGCGACGAUUGCACCCGGAGGGGUGUCGCUGGACGCCGUUGUCCAUAACGAGAUAGGCGGUUUUGUAAUAUAAGCAACCAUCCGGCCAUUGGCCUUUGGUCUUGUUCGAGACUGAUUGUAUAGUUGCUAAGCGUUUUUGUGCCUAGUUUAUGAAUCUGGCCAUUGCCGCAAGUUAUUUGGACGUUAAGUUCGCCACUAAGUUUCGGACUUAGUUGGCUUAGUAAAUAAUCUGUCAUUAUAAAGAUAACAACACAAUUGAAAACAAAGCGUGAUUUCUCAUUAAUAGACUUUUUGUUUACAAAAAAUUUACAAUUCUCAGAAGUAGUACUUUUUAAAGUUAUCUACAUUCC